AUUGAACGCUGGCGGCAUGCUUUACACAUGCAAGUCGAACGGUAACAGGUCUUCGGAUGCUGGCGAGUGGCGAACGGGUGAGUAAUACAUCGGAACGUGCCUAGUAGUGGGGGAUAACUACUCGAAAGAGUAGCUAAUACCGCAUGAGAUCUACGGAUGAAAGCAGGGGACCUUCGGGCCUUGUGCUACUAGAGCGGCUGAUGGCAGAUUAGGUAGUUGGUGGGGUAAAGGCUUACCAAGCCUGCGAUCUGUAACUGGUCUGAGAGGACGACCAGCCACACUGGGACUGAGACACGGCCCAGACUCCUACGGGAGGCAGCAGUGGGGAAUUUUGGACAAUGGGCGAAAGCCUUAUCCAGCAAUGCCGCGUGCAGGAUGAAGGCCCUCGGGUUGUAAACUGCUUUUGUACGGAACGAAAAGCCUGGGGCUAAUAUCCCCGGGUCAUGACGGUACCGUAAGAAUAAGCACCGGCUAACUACGUG
rnacentral:rRNA from 1 species